UACGAAGGGGGCUAGCGUUGCUCGGAAUCACUGGGCGUAAAGCGCACGUAGGCGGCUUUCUAAGUCAGGGGUGAAAUCCUGGAGCUCAACUCCAGAACUGCCUUUGAUACUGGAGAGCUUGAGUCCGGAAGAGGUGAGUGGAACUCCGAGUGUAGAGGUGAAAUUCGUAGAUAUUCGCAAGAACACCAGUGGCGAAGGCGGCUCACUGGCCCGAUACUGACGCUGAGGCGCGAAAGCGUGGGGAGCAAACGGG
rnacentral:rRNA from 1 species